UACGGGGGGUGCGAGCGUUGUCCGGAAUCACUGGGCGUAAAGGGCGCGUAGGUGGCCUGAUAAGGGUGUGGUGAAAGUCCGGGGCUCAACCCCGGAUCUGCCGUGCCGACUGUUGGGCUGGAGUACUGUAGGGGCAGGCGGAAUUCCGGGUGUAGCGGUGGAAUGCGUGAGAGAGUCCGGAGGAAGACCGGUGGCGAAGGCGGCCUGCUGGGCAGUUACUGACACUGAGGCGCGACAGCGUGGGGAGCAAACAGG
rnacentral:rRNA from 1 species